rnacentral:rRNA from 1 species
AAUGAACGCUGGCGGCGUGCCUAAUACAUGCAAGUCGAACGAAAAGACCAGGACCUUGCGCCUCUGACGUUAGCAGCGGAGGGGACAUUAACAUAUGGAUAGCAUACCUAUCCGACAGGGGUAACUACGGCAGACAGGAUCUACUGCCGGAAAAUUUAUUGAACCUCGUUGGGCACUAGUGAGAUUCGAUUGUUUUAUCACUUAUAGAUGGACACGCGCAGGAUUAGUUAGUUGGUAGGGUAAAAGCUUACCAAGGCGACGAUCCAUAGCUGGCCUGAGAGGAUGAUCAGCCACACUGGGACUGAGACACGGCCCAGACUCCUACGGGAGGCAGCAGUGGGGAAUAUUGGACAAUGGGCGAAAGCCUGAUCCAGCAAUGCCGCGUGAGUGAUGAAGGCCUUAGGGUUGUAAAGCUCUUUUACCCGGGAUGAUAAUGACAGUACCGGGAGAAUAAGCUCCGGCUAACUCCGUG